rnacentral:misc_RNA from 1 species
GCAACAUCCUUCCAUGUGUUGACCAUAAAACCACAAACCAGACACUGAUCCAAAGCAAAAAGAUCGUUAACGACAUCGUGAGUGUCGUCGAUCAAUUUGUCUACAACUUCGCCAAUGCAAAUCCACCCCCGGGUUCUCCCAACUACUGCAACCAGUCAGGACCUUCCAUGCCAGCUCUCUGUUACCCAUACAACUCUCAGCUGGAAGAAAGUAGAUGUGGCGACAACGACGUGACUAUUGAAAAUGCAUCAACUGUAUGGCAGAAGUUUGUGUGUCAAGUAUCGGAAUCUGGGCUGUGCAUCACAGUCGGAAGGGUCUCGCCAAACAUCCACUCCCAGAUGGUGGCUGCAGUGAAUGAGAGUUAUGCACUUCAACAUUACACUCCCCCUUUGCUCAGCUUCCAGAAUUGCAAUUUUGUAAGGGAAACAUUUCACAACAUUACCACAGCUUACUGCCCUCAUCUGCAUCGGCAUCUUAAGAUUGUGAAUGUUGGACUUGCAAUGAUUUCAGUAGGAAUAUUGCUGUGUCUGUUGCUAUGGAUACUAUAUGCAAACCACCCCCAAAGGGAGGAUGUGUCUGCAAAGCUAUCGUUUUCGAUAAACCGGAGGAGGAAUGGUAACCAAAAUACGAAUAAUAAUAGCAGCGGAAACGACGAAUCCACGACAUCAAGCAUCAGAAGCAUCAGAAGUGGAGUUUAGAGAAGUAGAGAG